rnacentral:rRNA from 1 species
GAUGAACGCUGGCGGCGUGCCUAAUACAUGCAAGUCGAGCGAACAGACGAGGAGCUUGCUCCUCUGACGUUAGCGGCGGACGGGUGAGUAACACGUGGAUAACCUACCUAUAAGACUGGGAUAACUUCGGGAAACCGGAGCUAAUACCGGAUAAUAUAUUGAACCGCAUGGUUCAAUAGUGAAAGACGGUUUUGCUGUCACUUAUAGAUGGAUCCGCGCCGCAUUAGCUAGUUGGUAAGGUAACGGCUUACCAAGGCAACGAUGCGUAGCCGACCUGAGAGGGUGAUCGGCCACACUGGAACUGAGACACGGUCCAGACUCCUACGGGAGGCAGCAGUAGGGAAUCUUCCGCAAUGGGCGAAAGCCUGACGGAGCAACGCCGCGUGAGUGAUGAAGGUCUUCGGAUCGUAAAACUCUGUUAUUAGGGAAGAACAAAUGUGUAAGUAGCUAUGCACGUCUUGACGGUACCUGAUCAGAAAGCAACGGCUAACUACGUG